GCAAGCAAUUUACAGUACAAUGUAUGAUAAUACAUGGAAUUAUUUGAUUAAAGUAAUUCGCUGCUCUAGUAAUAGCUAUGUAUUAUGCGUGGAUACCAC